ACUCCUACGGGUGGCUGCAGUGGGGAAUAUUGGACAAUGGGGGCAACCCUGAUCCAGCAAUGCCGCGUGUGUGAAGAAGGCCUUAGGGUUGUAAAGCACUUCCGUUAGUGAAGAAAGGUUUAUGGUUAAUACCUGUGAAUUUGACAUUAGCUAAAGAAGAAGCACCGGCUAACUCCGUGCCAGCAGCCGCGGUAAUACGGAGGGUGCAAGCGUUAUUCGGAAUGACUGGGCGUAAAGCGCACGCAGGCGGUUAUUUAAGUCAGAUGUGAAAGCCCCGGGCUUAACCUGGGAAUUGCAUUUGAAACUGGGUAACUAGAGUAUGUCAGAGGAAGGCGGAAUUUCCAGUGUAGCAGUGAAAUGCGUAGAGAUUGGAAGGAACACCGAUGGCGAAGGCAGCCUUCUGGGGCAAUACUGACGCUCAUGUGCGAAAGCGUGGGUAGCAAACAGGAUUAGAUACCCUGGUAGUCCACGCCCUAAACGAUGUCAACUAGGUGUUGGGCACUUAAGUGCUCGGUACCGCAGCUAACGCAUUAAGUUGACCGCCUGGGGAGUACGGCCGCAAGGUUGAAACUCAAAGAAAUUGACGGGGACCCGCACAAGCGGUGGAGCAUGUGGUUUAAUUCGAUGCAACGCGAAGAACCUUACCAGGCCUUGACAUCCAGAGAACUAAGCAGAGAUGCUAUGGUGCCUUCGGGAACUCUGAGACAGGUGAUGCAUGGAUGUCGUCAGCUCGUG
rnacentral:rRNA from 1 species